AAAGAUUAAGCCAUGCAUGUCUAAGUAUAAGCAACUAUACAGUGAAACUGCGAAUGGCUCAUUAAAUCAGUUAUCGUUUAUUUGAUAGUACCUUACUACUUGGAUAACCGUGGUAAUUCUAGAGCUAAUACAUGCUAAAAAUCCCGACCUCUGGAAGGGAUGUAUUUAUUAGAUAAAAAACCAAUGCCCUCGGGCUUCUUGGUGAUUCAUGAUAACUUAACGAAUCGCAUGGCCUUGCGCCGGCGAUGGUUCAUUCAAAUUUCUGCCCUAUCAACUUUCGAUGGUAGGAUAGUGGCCUACCAUGGUUUCAACGGGUAACGGGGAAUUAGGGUUCUAUUCCGGAGAGGGAGCCUGAGAAACGGCUACCACAUCCAAGGAAGGCAGCAGGCGCGCAAAUUACCCAAUCCCGACACGGGGAGGUAGUGACAAUAAAUACUGAUACAGGGCUCUUUCGGGUCUUGUAAUUGGAAUGAGUACAAUUUAAAUCCCUUAACGAGGAACAAUUGGAGG
rnacentral:rRNA from 2 species